rnacentral:rRNA from 1 species
UACGUAGGGCGCAAGCGUUGUCCGGACUCACUGGGCGUAAAGGGUGCGCAGGCGGCAGAGCGCGUCCGCGCUGAAAUCUGUUGGCUUAACUGACAGGCGCGUGCGGAUACGGCUCAGCUCGAGGCACGGAGAGGGUGGGGGAACUCCUGGUGUAGUGGUGAAAUGCGUAGAGAUCAGGAAGAACACCCGUGGCGCAAGCGCCCACCUGGCCGUGACCUGACGCUGCGGCACGAAAGCGUGGGGAGCGAACCGG